rnacentral:rRNA from 1 species
GAUGAACGCUAGCUACAGGCUUAACACAUGCAAGUCGAGGGGAAACGAUAUUGGAAGCUUGCUUCCGAUAGGCGUCGACCGGCGCACGGGUGAGUAACGCGUAUCCAACCUGCCCAUCACUUGGGGAUAACCUUGCGAAAGUAAGACUAAUGCCCAAUGACAUUUAUAGAAGGCAUCGGAAAUGAAUUAAAGAUUUAUCGGUGAUGGAUGGGGAUGCGUCUGAUUAGCUUGUUGGCGGGGUAACGGCCCACCAAGGCGACGAUCAGUAGGGGUUCUGAGAGGAAGGUCCCCCACAUUGGAACUGAGACACGGUCCAAACUCCUACGGGAGGCAGCAGUGAGGAAUAUUGGUCAAUGGGCGAGAGCCUGAACCAGCCAAGUAGCGUGCAGGAUGACGGCCCUAUGGGUUGUAAACUGCUUUUAUAAGGGAAUAAAGUGAGUCACGUGUGACUUUUUGCAUGUACCCUAUGAAUAAGGACCGGCUAAUUCCGUGCCAGCCGCCGCGGUAA